GGGGGGAUGCCUCGACUGCGCUUACUCCACCAGUAGCUCAUGGGUCGACCAUGGGCCCAGGCUGCAUAGAGUGCAAGUAUGCCCUCGCAAUAGUUCCUACAACAUCCGGAGCCCAGAAUAAGCAACGUCGUCGAUGUUGCCCUCCCCCACCAUGGCAUCGGCUCUACCAGGACGACACUGAGAGUUGUCAAUUCUCUGGUCCACAUUUAUGUCCAGCAAAUUGAAGAAUUGUA
rnacentral:lncRNA from 1 species